rnacentral:rRNA from 1 species
GACGAACGCUGGCGGCGUGCCUAAUACAUGCAAGUCGAGCGGACUUAAAAAGCUUGCUUUUUAAGUUAGCGGCGGACGGGUGAGUAACACGUGGGCAACCUGCCUGUAAGACUGGGAUAACUUCGGGAAACCGGAGCUAAUACCGGAUAAUCCUUUUCUACUCAUGUAGAAAAGCUGAAAGACGGUUUACGCUGUCACUUACAGAUGGGCCCGCGGCGCAUUAGCUAGUUGGUGAGGUAACGGCUCACCAAGGCGACGAUGCGUAGCCGACCUGAGAGGGUGAUCGGCCACACUGGAACUGAGACACGGCCCAGACUCCUACGGGAGGCAGCAGUAGGGAAUCUUCCGCAAUGGACGAAAGUCUGACGGAGCAACGCCGCGUGAGUGAUGAAGGUUUUCGGAUCGUAAAACUCUGUUGUUAGGGAAGAACAAGUACGAGAGUAACUGCUCGUACCUUGACGGUACCUAACCAGAAAGCCACGGCUAACUACGUG